UCCCUGAGCUAGACCCCGAGCAACUGCAGCUCCCCGGCCAUUUUGGUUCUUCUGCCCCGAUCAGAGACAUUCUUUCCCUUUCCCAAUUAUGGUUAUUCUCUCCCUGAUCUAGGUUUUCUACACAGAAGAGUAUCAUCAACCUCUCCCCGAUCUAGGUCAAGAAGACACUGUUGGUGGAGUUCUUUGAUUGCACAAACGAUUUCACGUUGAUUUUCAUGAAUGGAUUAUUACGUCUUUCUUAAUUUCUUGGAUUCUAGGCUCAUAGUGCUGGGAGAUGGUUCUGCACCUUUGUUCAUGGCAAGAGAACAUGUCAUUGUCUGAACCUUGCAACUGACUUCACUAUGCGAAGCCGGAGACUUUGGGAUUUUGAAAUUGCUUCAUGGUAUUGGAUUCUAGUCGAGGCAAAUCUGAACAAGGCAGAGUGCAGUUGCUGUCUUGGUUGCCGACGAAUUGGGAACCUGUUUUGAGUCGCUGUCCCUCAUUCUUUUAUUUGUAGAAUAGCAACGUGAUGCCCACCAACUGUUCGAUGAAAGGCCAAAGACAAUCUCUGCAGAAUUUGAUUGAGGUAGUCUUGGAAACUCUACCUAGAUUAUCUCCUCGUCUUGGAGUGGAAAUGGUUCAGAAGAAAAUAGCUGCAGCCUUGAAACAUUAGUGGGUUCUGGCUUUCCUUGUAAUCAAAGUUAAGUAUUCUUCUCUGUAAUGUAGGUCUUCAAUUGUAAGAAAUUAUAUUUUGGAAUAUUCAGAUCAACUUUUGUAGCCAAUACUUUAAUUGAAUGGUCAGACAAAUUGUUUUGAAAAAAAAAAAAAAAAAAGAGAUGAUCAGUCUUCAGUAAUAGUCAAAUUGUAUUACCUGCAAUUCGGAAGUGCAAGACUUGGUGUUUGGAUAUAGGGGAAGGAGUUCUUGCUUCAUGUGGGUCUUAUUUUAAGUGAAAGCUUGGAGUUAGGCUCAUUAGGCUAGCAUUGGAAGCGGAUGAUUGGCUUACACACAGAAGGAUAUUGAUGUGGUUUGAGCUGAAUGGGCAAAUCAUGUUAUGCAGUUCUAACUUUGGUUCUGUUUAAGGUAGAUGAGUAGCACUUGGAACUGCUUUUGUGCAUUUAUAUAUAACUGAUGGAAAGUGUUGAUGAACUUAAAUUAUGCAUGCAGUUGCUCUGUC